AUACGGAGGGUGCAAGCGUUACUCGGAAUCACUGGGCGUAAAGCGCGCGCAGGCGGCUUGAUAAGUUGGAUGUUAAAGCCUACGGCUCAACCGUAGAACUGCAUCCAAAACUGUCAAGCUAGAGUCUGGGAGGGGAUGAUGGAAUUAGUUGUGUAGGGGUAAAAUCCGUAGAGAUAACUAGGAAUACCAAAAGCGAAGGCGAUCUUCUGGAACAGUACUGACGCUGAGGCGCGAAAGCGUGGGGAGCAAACAGGAUUAGAAACCCCGGUAGUCC
rnacentral:rRNA from 1 species